CCUGUUUGAAUGGCUUUCAGAACAAGACUACAAUUUCAGAGUGUUAAUGGUUUCUUCAGAAUGGAUAGCCUGCUAUCAACUAAUCUUUUGUUUCCUUGCAUCCCUGAGCAGUGAGAUGUGAUCCUAGGGGAGGCUGAACACUGAAGGAAAUGGGUCGGAAGCGUUGGCUGCACAGGGACAGAGUUUGGAGCCACCACCACCACCAUAUGUUCAGAUUCUGGCUGACCUUCUGUGUGGCUAUUCACUGCGGGCACGUCACUCCUCUCCUCUUGCAUGACAUAUGAAGAGAAGCUAAUUCAAAGCGUU